UGGGGAAUAUUGCACAAUGGGCGCAAGCCUGAUGCAGCCAUGCCGCGUGUGUGAAGAAGGCCUUCGGGUUGUAAGCACUUUCAGCGAGGAGGAAGGUGGUGAACUUAAUACGUUCAUCAAUUGACGUUACUCGCAGAAGAAGCACCGGCUAACUCCGUGCCAGCAGCCACGGUAAUACGGAGGGUGCAAGCGUUAAUCGGAAUUACUGGGCGUAAAGCGCACGCAGGCGGUUUGUUAAGUCAGAUGUGAAAUCCCCGGGCUCAACCUGGGAACUGCAUUUGAAACUGGCAAGCUAGAGUCUCGUAGAGGGGGGUAGAAUUCCAGGUGUAGCGGUGAAAUGCGUAGAGAUCUGGAGGAAUACCGGUGGCGAAGGCGGCCCCCUGGACGAAGACUGACGCUCGAGUGCGAAAGCGUGGGGAGCAAACAGGAUUAGAUACCCUGGUAGUCCACGCUGUAAACGAUGUCGAUUUGGAGGUUGUGCCCUUGAGGCGUGGCUUCCGGAGCUAACGCGUUAAAUCGACCGCCUGGGGAGUACGGCCGCAAGGUUAAAACUCAAAGG
rnacentral:rRNA from 1 species